UCUCUCUGUCUUUUAUUUUUUUUUAUUGUUUCUCAGUGCGUCUCGCGUCUUUCUUCCUUCAUCUCACCCAGGACUUGAAAAUUUCAGGGAAACACUUUUUCUCUCUUCAAAUUUCUUCUCUCUUCUUGAGUAUCAGGAACAUGGAUCAAAAUUUUUGGACUUUGGAGAGAGAAUCAAUGCCGAGAAGACCCGACUGCUCCGGUGACUUCGUGGCGGUUUCCGGCCACCGAUUGACUUGCAUGAGUCACCGUGUUCGUGAUUUCCGACGGCUUAAUACCAAAACAGAAUCAGAAACUUUACGAAUGGAGAAGAGAAAUUGAAUAAUGGUUUGUCAAACAACCCAAGGCCACCAAGCAUGAAUAUAUUGAUCGAAAGCAUUUACAAGUGCAUAGGUUGGUAUAAAUUGAAUGGGUUGUGAAGUUUGGAGGUGGGUCAAAUAGUGAUUGGGUGCCCUUAGUGUUUGCAGAUGAUAGGUGAUACAGCAGGACAGACCACCAAAGUAAUUCAAGAUGCCAAGCCCAUUGCUUCAUCAACUGUCGAGACCAUUUCACCAGUGGAUCCUGUCGUGAUUACUGGAACUGCUGGAGUAAUAUUCCUCACAUACUUCCUUCUUCCUCCAAUUUGGUCUGCUAUCUCUUUUAACCUCAGAUGAUACAAAGGUAGUACAAGCUUAUUGUGAUAUGAUAUUGCUUCAAGAAAAUCCAUAAAUCAACAAUUCAAGUACCUAGUCUUUGGAAGAUAUAAACCAGUUUAAAGAUUGCAUGUUUUCGGUUUUGGCUUAACAUACAUAAUUUUAUCAUCAUUUGAGGCUACAUAUUUGUUCUAACAUGGAUGUACUAAUAGCUAAUGUGCUAUGGUUGUCCUACUCAGGUGCCCUCACUCCUGCUCAAACCCUUGAAGAUUUUGUUUUGUGGUUCUGUUGUGCAGACUGUGAUUGAUAGAAUGUAAACAACAUGAGUGUUUUGAGAGAAUUUCUUGUGUAUUUCUUCUCUGAGUUCAAUAUCACAUUUACAUCAGGAGCAUAAGGUUGUGCUUUGACACUGAUGUGAGCAAAGACCUGCAUAGUGUCUAGUCUUGGAUCACUAUUGCCUCUCAAUCCCGUAUCAGGAUUGUUACCAAACUUCAAUCCUGUAGGUUUGAGAUCUUGAUAAGGAGUGUCAUCGAAUUCCAAUCCUAAAUUAGGAUUGUUUUUACUUUCCAGUCCUAUAUCCUUAACAGUGAUAAAUGCAGAUGAUUAAAGCAUGUUGCUAUUGCUGUCAUGUUUCUAUUACCCAACAUAAAGGAAAAGAAAGGCUGUGCAAGUCUUUAGGUCAAUUCAAUGGACCUUCUAGUAAGCCUUCUAGAAGUUUAGUUUGUAUCAGAAAGCAAUAGUUUGUAUGGGGAUCAAGAAAGCCUUCUAGUUUUUUUAGUUUGUAUCAGUUCGUUUGGUUUCUAGUGAAGUACUAUAUGUUUAUGUCUUCAUCUAUUUAGGUUUCCUGCUAUGUAUUCCCAUAUCUCAAAUUCUCAUAA